CAACAAGUAAAGUGUAGUAGCAGCAAUUCUGGGGAGUACUGGGGAGCAACCUUGCCCGUGUGGUCUGCAAAGUCAGGCAUGUGCUGACUGCUUGAUGAUGGCGAUGAGAGCAGAGCAGCAGGCUGGAGGAGCUGCCUCACACUGUGCCAUGUCCACCUGCGCUGUGGUGCUUGAAACAAGACUUCAUUGCUGAGCUACAGGGAUUAAGGGAAGGGAUUUUAUUUGCCUGCUGCAGUUAGAUGCAGCGUCCUCAAGGACCCCAGAAUUUGCAUGGAAACAUGGAGGAGAGGAGAGAGGAAAUAACCUUUACAGAAAGAAAAUCAGUCAAAUCAUCUUUAUCAUUCAAACAAAAGAUGACAGGAAAUGAACAGGUGACUUCAAGGAUGAAAAAAAUACUCUUCUGCCAAUUCAAGAAAAGAUAAUGGAUGAGGUGUUACAGAACCUCAAAGAUCUUUAUCAUGCAACAAACUACAUUUUGAGAACAAUGCCUGGAAUAAAGAGGGGAAGAAAAUGUUUAAUACUGCUACUUCCUCUAACUAAGAUCAUAGAAUCAUCAAAUCAUAAAAGGUUGGAAAAGACCUCUAAGAUCAGCCAUCAGCACCAUGCCCACUUUGGAGGAUGCCAAAGCAGACACAGAACUGAACAGCAGUCUCAGAUUGUGAUACAUCAUGCUUUUAGAAUUGUUAUUCUCUCCUGAUUCACCUUGUUGCAACUGUAACGAUGCCUGUAGUCCCAGAAGUGGGAGCAAGAAGAGAUCAUUACAACUGGGGCAUUUAUUUCCUCUCUGCUAUCAAAGAGAUGAGCCUCUGGACAGCAAAUUUAGUGGUAUUUUACUGGAUACAGAUGCAGAGCACUGCACAUCUCUUCUUCCUGCAAUAUAACAGCAGUGGAGAGUUCAGCUGAGAGAACAAACUUUGAGAAGAUAUCUCACUCCUGUAGGACAGUGAAAUAGUUGUCCAAAUCACAAUGUGGGACUCAGAGCCAUGGCCUAGAACAAGAGAAGGGUAUAUACCUUGUCUUUCUUAUUCUUACAAGGAAAGAUCAAGAUACAUCCAUAUGUGACUUUUGACAAUUCAAGAAAGAAAACUUCAAAUGCUCAGUGGAAAUGCUAAGUCACAGCUUGAAGCAGUGAUUGAGCACCUGGUGGAAGGCAGGGCCAACUCAGGUGAGCUCAGGUGCAUGCAAUGCAGCUGAGUGAUCAGAAGGACUGGAGCCAGGAUCCACCCCUUCCCAGCCCUCAUUUAAGGGUUGGCAGUGGAGGCAAGGAUAUCUUCCUAGAGUUUUCUACCUACCUGAGUCUUUCCAAAGGUCAACUGCAUUUAAACAACUGCUAGAUAAACCGCCCAUAACUUGAAAUGCUGGAUGAAAAACAUAUGUUGUACUUCCUCUACGAAGUUGUUCUAUAUCAUUUUUAACCAAGUUUUGGAUUGAAGAGGUGAAUUAUUGCACUGCAUACAACUACGGGCCACACACUCAGUGCUGCCACCCAUAAACACCUUACCUCAUAUUGAAGGACUGGUGACACAAGGCUGUACCCAACAUCAUGCAGGGCUGUGUGAUGACUGAUUCCAGUGAAUGAAAGGUAAUGUUCAUAACCACAGGCUCUUGACCUGGUGGUGACCCACUCACUCUCCUUUUAAGAGGCUUCUAUGAGGGGAAGAAAACCCACACCAGAGCACUUGUUUGGGUAGUUUUCUGAGAGGCACGGGGAAUCUCAUUAGCCUUGAAAGAGAUUUUCCUGAAUCUAAGUAAGGUUCCUACAUUUUUUUGGAUUCAUUGUGCCUUUGUAGUUAAAUUAACCAGAAUAGCUUUCAGAUGCCUGUGCAGCCAUUUAGGAACAAUAGUGGCCAUUCUGUCCCGAGAUGCACUAAAAGCAUGGAACAGCUCUUUCUGUAGUAUGAAAGCAAACAUAGUGCUCGAGUGGUCUGGAUGAACACAGAAACACUUGGAACAAUAUAACCUAGGGGUUACCUCAGCCAUCUUAAACACCGCAAAAUCUCUCCUGGAUGGCUGUAAUUGGAAAAACAGCACAAGACAAAGGAACUAAAGAACUAGCAGUGGGGGAAGUUAACUCAGGUAAAAAAUAAAUCUAACAAGAGAAGAUGGAACUGAAUUGACUGUAAAGCCAGACAGUUUAAACUUCACAGGGCUCACUGAUGGAACAACAAACAUAAGACAAGGAAAAAUAGUAUGGGAAAUAUACAAGUUAACACUGUUGGAAUAUGAAGUGAAAGCAGGUAUCCAAAGGUGGUAGAGUCACUGAAAGGGCACUUUUACACACGUUCCCCCUCAGAGGAAAUCCUACUGUUAUUUCUGAGUGAGUCAGCCAGGGCUUAUUCCACAGAAUGAGCACAUAUGUUGCAGAAAGCCUUCCCAGUGAAAUGCAAUGAAGAUGGAGCAAUUGGGGUGAUGGGCACCAGCUGAGGUCUGGGCAGUGCCUUGGUUCUGCCAUGGGAGGUUCUGCCACCCAGCUGCACCCAGUAGCUGCAAGGGCAAUGUGUUUGUCUCUGGGAUUUAUGCUUUGAUUGAUGUGUGCUUAGGUCUGUAUUUAGAAGAGUAGGAGACAGAAGAGGAAUUAAGCAAAAAUGUAAGGAUUUGGGGGCUUUCAGUACAGGUUUAAAGAUGAGAGAAAAGAAAACACAGAAAGACAAUAAAAUUCCUCAACAUGUUAGAACAUAUCAAAAGGUCUAUAUAGAAAGAAUACACAGCCAUUGCGUGGUUCAAGUCAGCCAAUUUGUUCAGAUGUUGAUAAGAGCUAUGCUGCUUCAGUAAUAUAAGAAGCACAAUGCCUUACUGCCAUUGAAAUUGGUCCCCCUCAAAGUUCAUGCUUAGGUCUGAGAAACUGGCUAUGUUUUUUAACAAGCAGUGUAGAGGGGACAGUGAAUGUAAUGGUGGCAACCACCUUGUGUCUUCCCUUCCAGGGAGCAGGUGUCAAGGAUGCUGAAGGAGGAGAAGGGAUGUGACAGCUGUCUGCAGCUCAGGAUGCAUUAAGUGAUGACUUGGGGGUCUGCGGUACAAUCUGGGACAGAGGAACCACGCAGAGAGCACAGAACACACAGGGCAGAAAGACUGAAACAUGCUGAACCCUUGAAUAUCCCCCGUGACAAAAACACAAGUGAAAUAUUGUCACAACAUUUUAUGUAUUAGUUUGGACAGGAAGAAGAUGAUUUGUAAAGGGAUAUGUUUUCACAGGUAGCAUUACACACACACCCCACUUUCCCAAAUUGUUUUUAAUUGGCUUGCAAUCAGUUUUGUCUAGUCUCCCACCUGUCAGCCAUGAAGACCAACUUACUCCAUCAAAGUCCUGUAACUUUGUGAAGAACACAUUUCUGAGCAAGUCCUCUCCAUAACGUUACAUUUAUGUUGUGUGGCACCUCGAGCAAUGCUUUGUGCUUUCCCUGUUUCAGAGCUUUGUGAACAGAAUGUCUGGACCUGCAGAUGUUCACCCUCCCACGAGUGCUGGCCUCUAUUGCAAAUUCUUGUUGCUGUCUUGUCCUUGGGAAGAGCCUUAGAUAUACAGGCUUAUCAUAGUGAUUUAAACACAGCUACCUGCGGAUGUGAUGGAUUUCCUUUAUUUGCAGUCUCCCAGUCAAGACUAGAUGGAUAUCUAAGAGACAUGUUGUAGCUCAAACAGAGAGAGGUGCUUGGUGCAGAAAUUAUAGGGUCAGAUUCAAAGGCUGGUGUUGUGUGGGAGGUCAGGCAAGGUGAGUGUGUACUUCCAACCACUGCAUCUACACUGUAAAUUUCAAAGCUGUCUGUAAAACUAGGAAAUGCAGAAGGAAUUUAGUGCAAAGCGUUCACCUUUCCUUUUGUCUGAGAUGUAACCCAACGUUUUGCCUUUCCACCACAUCAUUGUGAAAGGAAAUUAAUUUCCCUGCUCACUGAUUAUACUGGAACUAUUUAAAGCAAAUUCUCAGCUACCACAUACUUGAUCAUAGAAACUUUCUUAACCCCAAAGCUCUCUCGUUUCAACGCUUUCCUCCAACAAGAACUCCACCAGAAACAAAAAUAACUUCUCUUUCUAACCUUUCAACCCAGGACUCCCUACUCAGCUUUAAAUGCAAUCCCAAGGAAGAGAAUUUAUCUAUACUUUUUCUUCCUUUAGGCAGUUACUCACCUGUUUUCAUCUGGCCUGUCUUCAGCCUUGAACCUGGAAGGAGCAGGUUCACACAGUGCUCAGAGUAUCAACAAAUGAAGGGGGGACUGCCUGCAGAGAAGUGUAGGCCUGAGUUUGUUAAAUCCUCAGAGAAAGGAUGGAGCAGAUAGAUAUAUGCAUAAGGCAGACAGAAUUGAUAUUAUUUAUUCCUCUUUGGCAGAGUCUGGACAGAAGAGAUAGUAGAAAAUACGUCCAUUUCAUCAGACUGGAUGUGUUCAAAGGUGAUAACAGAAGCUGAAUGAACUUGGCUGCCACUGUCCCCGCCUACAGCCAAAGACUGAAUUUGGUGAUGGCCCUCCUUGAGUAGAGCCAAGUGGUGCUCCAUAGCCAAGACUGUCAGCCCAAAAGAGUUGCUGAUCAGCCUGGUCUCAUGUUCCAAGAAUGAAACCCUGGCAUGGAAGUGGCAUAUCUGCCAGUUAAUGUCAACAUUUGAUGUGCAGUCAGAGAGCAAACAAGGUUUCAUAUUGUGGUAAAAAGGGAAAUACUGUUUGCUUUAAUUCUAGUUUCUUUGUGUCAGAUGUAUUAAGAGUCUCAUAAAAUAGUGAAAGAAUUUCAUUCUUACUUACAAUUAUAAGAAGCAUAUAUAUAUACACACACAUAUACAUACACACACAAUGUACCUACUUCUACAAGUACAAACAAAAUGUAAAAUCUAGCUAGUAAUGAAUAGCUUGAAACAUCCUUUUCAGAAAACAUUAUAAUACAAGACUCCAGUGACUUUAUCUAACGCUCAGUUACUAAGAAGGGGAAGAGAACACUUAACUGUGAAUGAGCUUCCCUAUAGCAAAAGGAAAGUGCUCCCAGACUGAAAAAUAGGCAUGGACAGACUAAGAUAUCAUGUAGAGUGGGUACAGCUUGCUGUCCAGCUCUCACCACCUAUGUGUAUAUGACAAUUAAUCCAUGUGCUUUAUUGUCCUCCAGUCUUCUGGAUGAGAGAUCACAGGAGAUCACGUUUCAAACGGUGAUGUCCCAAGUGUGGGAAGAACAGAGCAAUGGGACUCUCACUGCUGUAGGAGGCAGUGCUCAGCACCACAGGAGAUAGUCCUGAGCUCCCAAGGACAAUAAUUAAUGACAACCAGCACUGGCACAGCACUUCUGUUGAGUCUCAGAGCAGAAACACCUGCAGCAUAUCCCACCCUGGCAGGGAAAUGGAGCUGGUGACCUAACAAUCUUUCCCACCUCUAACUUCUGGGGCUUUAUGAAUCGUCAGUCACACCUAGGUGUGAUAUCGCUAUAAAAUCCCAGUCACGUAAGAGAGCUGGCAGGAAGUUCUGGCUGUGCAACUCUGUGGUUUUAUGCUUAGCUAUGUUCUAAAUACUGAAAGAAUGAAGUAGACUUUCAAGCAUCAGCGUUGACAGUUGCUUUCAGAGAUAUUCAAACAAACAAAAUCCAGUCACCUAGACAGCAAAACCAGCUGCAGCUUGGGCUACAGCACAAACGUGACUUUUUGUUUUAAAAAGAAAGCCAUCACUAUCUAAAUGCCACCUGUGGUGUGGUGUGACUAAUACUGCUCUUCUUCAAGAGGUUGGCAAGGGCCUCUUUAUAGACUCAUAAAACCAUAGAAGCAUUUGGGUUGGAAAAGACCUUCAAGAUCAUUGAAGUCCAACCAUCAAACUCACCUACCAAGUGCCACCACCAAACCAUGUCCCUUAGUGCUGCAGAACAUCCCCAGAGCAAACAUGAGCACUGUGCCCAGCGCCAGCUCUGUACUUCACACAGAGGGUGGUGACGCACUGAACAGGUUGCCCAAGGAGGCUGUGGAUGCCCCAUCCCUGGAGGCAUUCAAGGCCAGGCUGGAUGUGGCUCUGGGCAGCCUGGUCUGCUGGUUGGCGACCCUGCACACAGCAGGGGGUUGAAACUAGAUGAUCACUGUUGUCUUUUUCAACCCAGGCCAUUCUAUGAUCCUAUGAUUCUAUGAUUGACUAUGGACUAUGGGUGACAUCUACCUGUCAUUGCUGCCAUCUUAACACUAGGGCAGAGCUCAGUACAUUUCUCUACAUGGUGUGUUGCAGUAGGAAAGUUUCUUUCCUUCUCCUCCUCCAAAGUCCUGCAACGGGAAAAGAAAACAUGGGAAACCGUGUCUUCAAAUCAUACACCCAUACUUCAUCUCAUUGUAUAAUCAUCACAAAAAUCUGGUGGUGAGCUGUACUGUAUCUGUGUUUUGUCUGGAGGUUGGAAGUGGUUUUAACGAUUUAAAUCAUGGUAAAGAAAAGGGCCACUCAAAACACAGAGCUGGAAAGCAGAACCGCUUCGGUGUCUGCAGUAUUCUAAACUAGAUUUUGGUCCAGGUCCUGCUCCACUGUGUCCUCGUGUUGGGAAAGUAUAUUCAGAGCUGACAUGGCUUUCCCAGGUGUUUUCUACUGGGACAAAGUGCAGAGAAUGCAGUUAAUCACGAGUGCAUUCAAGUGUCCUAAGGUCUUUGGGUGAAAGCUGUUAGAGACAUUGAAAAAGUGUUUAAUAAUCACAGCCCCAUGUCCUCAGCACAGGCUUUUUGGGUUCACGAAAGUUCAAACACCUUUUAAGAAAUUUAGGCCAAAAUGUAAGCAGGCCAGAGCCAUGCAGCAGUUCCAAUGGCAACGGGGACAGCGCUUUGUUGAACCAUUUUCAGGAUCAUGACUACUGGGUAAGAUGCAUGCUGAGUGGUGCUGCUUUUAUAAACCACAGCAGGCACAAAGGUACUGUGUGCAGUUUCCUAUAGUUGACAUAAAGAUAUAUACAUUUUUCUUUUCAACAGUCUCACUUCUACACAGUUUCAAUUAGAAGUGCAUAUAACAACAAUCCCCAAGAAGAUUCAACAUUGGGUCUUUCAACUGACUGUCAACACAUCCUGUUCUUCCUCAUUUGCAAUACUUGUCCCUAAAAACAAACUGGACACAAAAGCUUAAGUCUAUACUUAUGAAAUGCUUUUGGAUUAUGUAAAAACAUUGCAGAGGAUUUUAUUGCCUCUUGUUGUACUGGCUAAGAGUUACCCAAACCAUCCACAGAUGGAAGAAGAAGGGGUUAUGUGCAACUUCUGGAGUAGCUAGAAGGAAGUGGUGUUCUAAACUAUGGUUAUUUAACCAAAGGAGCUCAAAAUGAGUGGGAAAUACUUGUGUUCCACACAGCAUUAUUGUACACUACGUAUCAAAUACAACCAAUAGAGAAAGACAAAUAACCUGGGAAUGGCAAACGCUUCCAGUGAAUUACAAAUAUGUUUUAGAGUGACCUGAAUCGCAUUUCAAAGCGCUCAGAAUAUUAUCCCACUAAUUCAAGUGUUUACCGUGGAUCCAGUCUCACUGCCUCCAUUCAUGUGAACAGUUCCAUCCAUAGCAAGAAGACUGCAGAGGUAAAGGCCAUUCCUGAGUACCCAUUUUCAGAACCCGCUGUUCUUUCCUUACAUGCUUUAAAAUUAAAAUGUUACAUUUACAGUCAUAUUUUCUAUCGCAAAGAGUUUUUCAAACAGUCUACAUCUCCUACCUGGUUAAUCUUUACAGAUAAGAUCCAUCAUAAACACAGACAUUACUUUUUGGCAAACAUUUGGAUUUUUUUCCAACAGUUUUUCUUUGGGUCAGAAAACAAAAUCAUUAUUUUAAUGUCAA
ensembl:lncRNA